ACAUAAAUGAAGUUCUGUUGGAUCAUGGCCACAGUCAUUCGUGUAUAUAUUGUCAAUGGUUGCUCUUGCACUACAAUGGCAGAGUUGAGUAGUGGACACAAAUACCGCAUGAUGCACAAAACUAAAAAAUUUAUUAUCUCACCCUUUACAGGACAACUGCUGACCCUUCCCAUAAACAAAAAUUAGUAAGAGACACAAAAAAAUCCCAGAUAUCAAAAAACUAGAACCCAAAAGCUUCUGGAAGAAAACAUAGCAAGCUCUCUUCAUGAUCAUGGGGUAGGCAAAGAUUUCUUAAAGACAAAAGAAUGUUUUAACCAUAAAAAAAGCAAAUUGUUCUUUAUGCAAAUCCCAAAAAGUUCUUCAAAAUAUAUUAAGAAAAAAUAAACGUAAUCUGAGAAAGGGCUGGAUUCAUAUUAUAAAGAAUUCCUACACAUCAGUCAUAAAGAAGACAAUUCACUAAAAACAAAAAAUUGACUAGAGUAUUAAAAAAAUAAAAGAUAUAUAAGUAGGCAGUUUCUUUUCAUGAGACUAAUGUGCUUAUUUCUCCAGCUUAGGUGGUUGUUUCGCUGAUAGCAGGUCACUGUCAGCUGCCUCCAGGAAUCACCUUUGGUUGAAGGGAAUGCUUUGCCCAGGUCUCACCCCAUUCCUAUGGCAGCUGGCAUUUAAUGACUGGCUGAUAUCUCCUUUCCUACACCAUUAUUUGAUGAAAUUUAAAAUUUAAAUUUAAAUGUAAAAGUUUUGGUUCUUGUUUAGAAAAACAUUUGCUUCUCCCUCACUACCCUGUGCAAAAGAUGAGUUUGAGGCAGGUAAACCUGAAAUCAGCAAGAGCUGGAAGCACCCAGCCUCCCUAGUCAGGGUCCUUAGCGCUUCAUCAUAGUGACUACACUCUGGCCACUUGAGGGCACUGUGGAUCCACUGAGUGGGCCACUGAUAGCGCUGUCUGGGAGAGAGAGGGUUAAGGGAGACAGUCUUGAUUUCGUCUCUGUAUCAGGGAUAUUACUAGAUGAACCAGAUGUAGUGCUGGCACAGGAAGAGUUAAUCAUAGCCUUAUCAGAUCAACCGAUAUGCAUGUGUAUUUGUCAUGAUAGGAAGCCAUGAACUGCAGCCUUAUGUGACCUCUCUAGGUGCCUAAGUUUGACAGGGAGUGUGGGGAGGGUUUCAGCAGGGCAGCCUGGAUAACCCAAGCCAGGCAGAGACAAAGGAGCAUCUGCCUCAGAUGAAAAUCUCAGAAGCUGUGGGGAUGGCUGUCUGCCCGGAAGCCCGCCUCCCACCCCUUGCUCAGCGCAGCUAGCUUCCCCUGCCCUGCAGGAAGCUGGACAGGAUGGGGGAAAGCCUGAGUUAGCUGAGUUAGUCCUGGGGUACAGGGUGCCUAUGGGAGCCUACAGGACGAUGACAUCAGAACAGUGACAUCACAGUAAAAACCUCCAAAAACGGUGAGGAGGAGCAAAAGCCUUGCUUUCUCACCCCAGGAAACCAGCACCCUGAGAAGGGAGAUGCUUGGUCCUGAUCUGCCUGACUCUGCCUGGAACACCAGGCUCCUCCGCCAUGUCAUGUUUUGUCUCCUGGGAGCAGGUUCAGUGGCUGCUGGAGUCAUCCAGUCCCCAAGGCAUCUGAUCAAAGAAAAGAGGGAAACAGCUACUCUGCAAUGCUAUCCUAUCCCUGAACACGACACUGUCUACUGGUACCAGCAGGGUCCAGGGCAGGGCCCCCAGUUCCUCAUUUCGUUUUAUCAAAAGAUGCAGAGAGAAAAAGGAAGCAUCCCUGAUCGAUUCUCAGCUCAACAGUUCAGUGACUAUCAUUCUGAACUGAACAUGAGCUCCUUGGAGCUGGGGGACUCAGCCGUGUACCUCUGUGCCAGCAGCUUAGGCACAGCCCUGCAGAAUUACUGGCUUUCUGUACCGAAACCCUCCUGUCUCAGUUGGGGAUGUAACAGGGAGAAGGAGGUGGGGGCUGCCACACAGCUUUAGCCAAGCCCCAGAGAUGCUUUUAGUUCUUUUCUAACGUUUUCCCCCAUCCUGCUGAGCUCAGUGAGAGCUCCUGCACUUGUGGGCUCCGGACCCACUGGAAGUUCUCACAUCUUAGCCAGUACUUUUUAAUUCCUAGCAAGUGGUGGGAGCUCGUACUCUGUGCCAACAUAUGGGUAUGUGUUUUAGUGUGUUUUCUGUUGCCAUACAGAAUACCUGAGACUGGGUAUUUUAUACAUAAAUGAAAUUUGCUUCUUACAGCUCUGGAGGCUGGGAAGUCCAGGGUCAAGGACCCACAUCUGGUGAGGAUCUUCUUGCUGGUGAGGACUCCGCACAGUCCUCAGGUGGCACAGGAUAUCACAUAUGAGGGGGCUCAUGAAAGAUGGCCAAACUGGCUUUUAUAACAGACCCACUCUCAUGAUAACCUACCCAUUCCCUCUAUAACCCAUUAAUCCAUGAAUGGAUUAACCUUCACGAGGGCAGAGUCCUUAAGACCUAGUCACCUCCCAAAGGUCCUACCUCUCAAUGCUGCUGCAUUGGGAACCAAGUUUUCAAUAUAUAAAUUAUUUAGGAACACAGUCAAAUCAUAGCA